GACUUCAGGGUCUGAGUUGCUCCAUCACGCAUGCGGGGUUUUCUGUGCUGCAGUGUCGUGUCUGCGCACAGAGCAGCAGUGCUGUUACGUAUUCACCUGUGUUUUCCAGAAUAACCUUAGAGCAAAUCCUUAAAUGCGUACUAUGCAUAGUUACUAUGUACCAGAAAAAGGCUGUUACUGCAUUGUUUUCUGUUCACUGACUGUGUUUGCAUGAGCCACAAAUAUGGGUGAAAUAUUGGCAGUAUCUCCCAUGCAAUCCCAAUGAAAACUUAAAACAAGAAGUUUAAAAAGUAGUUUUGCAUAAUCUCUAUAUCCUUAAACCAGAGGGUUUUUUUGUACUGCUUUAGACAUUUUUGGUGCCUUUAAUUUAGCUUACUUUUUUUUUUUUUUUUUUUUUGUAGCAUUCUAGUGCACCAGGUGGAGUUCAUCCACUUCUGUACAAAAAGGUUCACCUGCCAAAUCUCUUAAUGAGGGUUUUCCUCCCCAGGCACUACUGAUUUGCUCCUCCCCUGAGAGGUUUUAAAGCUAUCUGUGCUGUGUCCCAGAGCUGCUGUGGGAGCUGCAACCAUAUUAGUGCCCCAUGUGGGGCUGUCCUGCUGCAGCGCAGCAUGAGGCAGGCACUGGCUGGUCUCAGGUGGGGUUUGUCCCCUCCUGCUGCCAGGGGCAGGAUGUGCUCCAUCAGGCAGGGGACACUGCCUGGGACCCCUUGCCCCUGGUCUCACCAUGGGAUGCUGCCAGGGCUCCUGCUCCUUGUGUGUCCCAGCAGCCAGCUGCCUCGGCUGCCCUUGGUACUGAGGGAAUGCAGUAUGGAAUGAUGGUCCACUAGCGCCAAGUGGUGGCAGUCAAAAAUUUAUGAAAAAUGAGUAUUCCAUGGAUGCAAGGAAAUGCCAUGACCCAGGACCAUGUCAUUGGACUGCUGAUAUCAUGUCAUACAACAGCCCUAUCCAAAAUUGUGAUGGCCAUGUCCUGCUGAGAUCUGCAACUUCAGCCAAGGUACAGUCAGACAGCUCAGUUUUUUUUGUUUGUUUGUUUUUCUCUUUCUAGCAACAAAGGAAAUCCAAUAAAGUCUUCACAAUUAUUCCUUAGAUGAAUCA
rnacentral:lncRNA from 1 species